GUGCUCCCUUUGGCGGCACAUACACUAAAAUUAGAACAAUACAGAGAAGAUUAGCUCGGCCCCUGCGCAAGAUGACAUGCAAAUUCAUGAAGCAUUCCAUAUUUUU
ensembl:snRNA U6 U6 spliceosomal RNA